rnacentral:rRNA from 1 species
UACGGAAGGGGCAAGCGUUGUUCGGAAUUACUGGGCGUAAAGGGUUCGUAGGUGGCCACUUAAGUCAGACGUGAAAUCCCUCAGCUUAACUGGGGAACUGCGUCUGAUACUGAGUGGCUUGAGUGCAGGAGAGGAAUGCGGAAUUCCAGGUGUAGCGGUGAAAUGCGUAGAUAUCUGGAGGAACACCGGUGGCGAAGGCGGCAUUCUGGACUGUAACUGACACUGAGGAACGAAAGCCAGGGGAGCAAACGGG